AUUAUGCAGGGCUAGCCAAAGGAGCCUAAACCAUGUAGGACAAAAUUGCAAAGAUAUAGACAUUAUUAUUUUUAACUUUUGUUUUAGUUUGUCAUCUAUAUCUGGGCUUUUUAUGCUCAGGAAAAACGUGGAACUCACUAUGAAAUGCAGAAUCUCUGCAAAUCAGUCCCGAGAGCCCCCACGAUCCUUCACUGAAGUCAAGGAAUCGAACACUCAGCUCGUAGAGCGGAUUGCUCAUUCCUCGCAGCUGAUAUCACAUGGGGGCCUACACUGGUCUGGAGUAAAGAGAAAUAAAUCGGAAACUUGCGAUAACUCUAGAACCAUGGUCCUUAAAGUACGGCUCCCCAACCAGCACCAUCAGUUUCACCUGGGAACUUGUUAGAAAUGCAGUUUCUCAGAACCCAGCCCAGACCUGCUCUGUCAGAAGCUCUAGGGGUGCCUCGUAUUCUCCAUUUAGCAAGUUCUCCAGUUGAUUCUGCUGCAGGCUGAACUUUGAGAACCACUGCUCUGGAUAAGAUUGAAGGCAAUUCCCGAAAGCUGAAGAGAGAUCACCAUAGACAUGUGGCAUCAUCUGUAUAUCCUCUAGUAGAAAGCAGGAGCCGCACUCCCCAGGUCUAGAACCGGAAGUGCGCCUCAUUAUGAAAUGAGAAAAAAAUGAACACGAUCUACAGAGUGUCUGUUAAUCUUACUUAAGGCAAGGAGGAGCCUGAAGAUGAAUGGUUCAGGAGAUGACAGAUGUCCUAAGAAGGAAAAUAGCUCCAAAACGAAACUAUUUCACCUCUUAUUUCUUAAGAGGCAGGCAUGUUCCCAAUCAAAACUAUAUCCAACAUUUUAUUUCAAGUAAAUGAGCUAAAUAAUGAUGUUGUUUGCAGAUAGAUACCUGUUAAUGUGUAAUAGAGCACUUGAAGAUAUUUACUAUUGGGGCAGAACCCUUUUGGGGUGUGCCCUGCUGAUGCUGGUCUGCUCUCUACAGGUUGUUGACAUGUUUAGGUCACCAGCAGAAAACUAGACACUCCAUGGAAACAAUCCUGGGAAAGGAGUGAAUAGAUCUGGUUUCAGUUUCUAGAGCUGUGCACCAGCAGAAAUUGAAGAGACCGUCUGUAUGGAUGGGACAUUGUAUGGACAUCUUGGAAGGAUUAAUUGAUGGUCCAAGUUCUCUGACGUCAGCUGGUGGCUAGAGCUUGGACUAGAAGGAUGAGGGUAGGCAAUUUGCUUGUCCAGGUCUUGAUUUGCUGGCCAGGCAUGUCCAUUCUCUCAUGGUUGAUACCUGCAUCAAUAGCGCUGAGAAGCAAUUAAAAUUAAGGAUUUCUGAAGAAAACAUGUUAAAACCUAUGAUGCAUUUUACAAAUUCUUGGAUAGAUGAGGCGUGUGGUUCCACAUCGAAUGCUGUGAGCUGUUUUCCUGUUCCCUUUUUCCAUGAAGCUGCGUAAUAAACAGAACUGAGCCGCCUGGUGGCCCAUGGGGCAAUUAUGAAUAUAGCAACGCUUCUCUUUGAUUUCUCUGACAGAAAAAAAUCUCUGUGGAGAGUUGUGGCUAUUGUGCUGUAUUAAAAUUGAGUUCUUCACCAGCGGGCUGGGAGAGAAGUACCAACAUCCGCGAGCAGGUCUCUACCGGAACGGGUGAUCAUUCUUGUUAUGAAUCCACUGGAGAACCUACAUCUUUUAGACCUAAGACAAAAACUCAGAAAGCCCACAAUGGGUGGACUGCAGAAUUUGAAUCUGACUUCCUUGGCCUUCAUCUUAAAUAUAAUAUCUGGGACAGAAAAAUUAUGGGUAGUCAUGUUUACUUUACGUGGAGGCCUUGUGUUCCAGAACGACUGACGUAUUCUUUGAAAUGCAGAGCUUAUGUCAGUCGUCUAUGGUGAUUUCUUUACUGUAGGUUUCUGAGAAAAUCCAAAGUAUGAGUGAUGGCACCUCAGACCCAUCCUGUUUAGAUCCACGGGCGCAUCCUUAACCUCGCCUCUCAGCUCUGCCCCUCACACCUUCUUUUCUAGCUACAUUGAACUGCUUAGUUCACCUUGGCCACUGCAUUUUCUCAAAUCUCCUUAUAUUUGGAGUUGUUAUUCCCACAUCCCGUGAAGCCUUUUCACAUAUUAGCUUGGCUGCAUUUUCUAGAAUUCAGUUGCUCCUUCAGGGAACCUUCCACAACCUUCCACCACCACUUCAACCCAUCUGAUAUUUUUAUCCCUCCUGUAUGUCCCUUGUUCAUUUAACUGUCACCCACCACAUUGGAAGCUCCUUGUGGGUAGGAAUUGCGUCUUUUAUUUAUCAAGGUGCAAAGCUUGGCUGUGCCUGGGGCAGAGCAAGCCCAGUCUGUGUCUGUUGAGUGGAUAAAGGGAGUCUGCUGGGAGCCAAGAUGAGUGGGACCUAGGAUAGGAGCCUUUAAACUGGGCCAGCCCUUUGAAACUGGAGUGGAUCUCUCGUUGAACAAUGGAUCAUUUUGGUUUUUCUCUGUGUUUACUGCCCUUUCUCUGCCUUGGUUUCUCGUGUGGUUGCAGUCAGAUGACGGCCGUGUUGUUAUCUGCAGGCUUGUAGGGUCAUCUGGAAACUCGCCUGAGAGGCCGUGCAGGUUGGACCGCCCUCUUGCUCCAGGAGUCUCCGGGCUGCUCCUCUCUACAAGGCCUCUCUUUGUGGUGGCUGGGCCGGGAGAGCUGACUUCUUAUAUGGCAGC
rnacentral:lncRNA from 1 species